ACCUAGGACAUCUCCUCCUGGGGUUUCUGACCAUCCCAUUCUGGUGAAAUCUAUCACUGUUUUCUCAUCAGAGGAAGAUUUCUCUCUGAGGACCAUUUUCCCAUUCCUCUGGCUCCAUUCACCAAACCACAGAAUUUAAAUGCCAGAUGACCAUGUUGGCAGGAACAGCUCCUGGGAAGUCUUGUCUGCAAGGAAACUUCUGAAUACUUAAUAUCCAGCUCCGUUACAAGACCACUUGCUAGAGUGGGGACCUAAUACAGUCCCCUUGUGACAGGGUGACCAACUUUCCUUAUCCUGUGAGCUGCAAACCAAAGUCCUGAGGGACUGAGACCCAUAAGACUCACA